AAUUAGCUAUGCUAGAGAUGAAGUAUAAUACUGACCUGGAUGACGAUCAGUUAUCUCAAGAUCCAGAUGAUGUCAUGUGCCCAUGACCUAUGUGGCAGAAAUUUGUAUGGAGUCCACCAUCAUCACAUGCCAACACACUGGCAAAAAUGACCUGCAUAGCUGAAGAAAAACUAGCAGUGAAUGAACAAUAUAGCCUACCUCAACAAUAUGAAGAAACACUUCUCCUCCCUAUUGGCUUGUCUCAGCUGUGAAGAACCUGUUCUGGGAGUUCCAGAAUUCAAAGACUAGGCACUUGUACAUACCAAUAUCUCAGCUACUAGAGGUAAUCAUUCCUCUGCUUGAGAAAGGGGACAAUUGGGUACACACCAUAUGCCAUCCUGUGGUUUUACCUAUGUAACCAUGAUACGAUAAAGUAGGAUAGAAAACCCUUCUCAACCCUAGAGGCACAGGUACAUAAGUUGCAGGAAAAAACAACUGGAAAAGGGAGUACUUCAAGAAAAAUGAUCCCUUCAGUUUCCAGUGAGCAGUCUCCCAGACUAAGUAGAUGAUUUGAUACUAUUUCUGAGAUUGAAAAUUGGACUUUUGGUUUCUGUUCUUGAGAAGAUAAUGACAAAUAUAGUGACCAGUUCCAGAGGGGGCCCUGCAUUCAGCCAUGUGGAGGAAAGGCAAAAUCAGAUUUAUUGGACUAUGACAUCAGAGCCACAGGAGUAUAACACUCUGGUGGAAACUGGUGAAAGAGUGUAUUCUGGUCCCAUUAAGCUCUAAAGGGGCAGAACACAUCUGUAUUUCUGGAGUACCAGGGAAUCUCAAGCACUAACAUUAUUGGAGGCCAAAGUGGAAAUGAGUGGCAAAAGUACUCUACUGCAAUUGGCCUAGAGGUUCCACGCAUCUUGAGUACAGAUUACCUCAGGAAAGGGCACUUCAGGGACCCAACGGGGUACUGGUAGGCUCUUGGUAUAGAUGUCUUGGAGAACAUUAAGUAGCUGUUUAUCUUGCUCAGUCCCUCCUGUUGUGAGGUUGCUAAACAUAAAAGAACAGCAUGUGCCAAUUGCUACAACUGUGCACCAUUGGCUUUCUUGCAAGGCAUGCUUGUACUUCAGUAUGAACUGGAGUCAAAGGCAACCAAGUGGUAUGCUACAACUGAUAGUGUCAAUGGAUUUUUCUCAAUCUCUUUGGCAGCAUAGUGCAGGCCAAAGUUUGCAUUGAAACAGGGAGAAGCUCCUGAACACCUGCAAUACACUGAUACAUCAUGUGGGGCAACACAGCAGAGGAAGUUUUUGAGAACAGGAAGAAAAUAAUACAAACAGUUCUGAAAGCCAGUUUUUGCCAUAAAGCAAAGUAAGAUUAAGAAGCCUGCACAGGGAAUUCAAUUCUGAGGAAUAAAAUGGAUGGAUGCCAUCAGAUCCCCAUGGAUGUGAUCAACAAAAUGAUAUAGGCUACAUAGGUCAGUCUAAAAUAAUGCCUCCUGUGUAUUUACAUGGAAACUACAACAGAUGCAAAGAGCACAAUAACCCUACUGAAUAGAGCACAUUCUCUCUCUACAAAAACUACUUUUCAACAUGAUCACCACCGUUAUCUACGUGAAUUCAGGUGAAUUAUGGUUGAUGCCCUCUCCCUGGAGACUUUCAAGGUGAGGCUGGAUCAGGCCUUGGACAACUUGGUUCAGCUGAGCAUAUCCCUGCUCACUGAAGGGGAGUUGGUCUAGAUGACCUUUAAAGUUCCCUUCCAACUCUAAGGUUUCUAUGAUUCUCUGUUGUCAGGCUGCUCCUCUGCUGCCGUGUCACAUAGCAACAAAAUUUAAUGGAAUACUGUCUUAAAUAUUCAACCUCUACUGCCAUACUACCAACAUCUGCCUCUGACAUUGUAGACCAAUAUAAUAAAAUAGAAGAUAUUACUUUUGAAGCAAUCCUGGUAUGUCCUUAUCAACUAGCAAAAAGGAAACACAAGCUUUCUUAGGUGUCACAGGGUUUUGGACAAUGCAUAUUCUGAAUUACAGUCUGAUUGUAAACCCUCUAUAUCAAGUGACCAAGAAGAAGAACAAUUUCAGAUGGGGUCCUGAGGAAGAAGACUUCUAACAAAUUAAACAGGAAAUAAUUUGUGCGUUACCAUGAAAUACUUGGACCAGUGGAAGCAGUACAAAAUGCUACAGAUAUGCUCUACGCUGCAGCUAGGGAGAAUGGUCCUACCCAGAGGACCACUGGAUUGACAAUACAUGAAGGAGCUUGAGCUGCUUUGGAAGCGGUUGAUACUGAAGCACCAGCUCCUCUUAUCACUCUGACUGCCUGUGCUGGGUUGAAUGUUCAAAGGGAGGGUCCUCUCUACACAUUAUGCAGCUCAUGCUACAUGGAAUAAGUGGAUUGCACUGAUCACACAACGACUUUGAGUCUUGUAGUCCAAGAAUCUUGGAAAUGAUUGUGGGAUAACUCAAAAGCAAAGAUUUUGUAAUGUCAUCAGAAGAGGAGGUGAUGCAUGUUGAAGAGAUCCCAAUGCAAAAUAAGUUACCAGAGAAUGAGAAGCAAUAUGCUUUGUUCACUGACAGGUCCUCUUCUAUUGUAUGAAAACACUGGAGGAGGAAGGCAGUUGUGUGGAGCCCUGCACAACAAAUUGCAGACAUUUCUGAAAAAGAAAGUGAAUCGAGACAAUUUGCAGAAGUGAAGGUCAUCCAGCUGGCUUUAGAUGUUGCUGAAAGAGAGAGUGACUAGUACUGUACCUAUGCACUGGCUCUUGGAUGGUGACAUAUGCUCCUUGAGGGUGGUUACUACAAUGUAAGCAGAACAACCGGUAACUCAGAGGCAAGCUCAUCUGGGUUGUUGCAUUGUGGAAAGAUAUUACUGCACAGAUAAGGAACAUGGAUGUAAAAGUACAUCACAUAUAUGUCCACAAACCCGACAGUCAUUUCACGGAGAAACAUCGAAACAACAAGCAGAUGGCCAUUAGGAUCGAAGUGGCUCAGAUUUAGGCUAUUUACAUCCACUGAGGACCUGCACAUCGGUGG
ensembl:lncRNA